UACGGAGGGUGCAAGCAUUAAUCGGAUUUAUUGGGCGUAAAGGGCGCGUAGGCGGACGAACAAGUUAGAUGUGAAAGCCCAGGGCUCAACCCUGGAAUAGCAUUUAAAACUGUUCAUCUAGAGGGUAGGCGGAGAAAAUGGAAUUCCACAUGUAGCGGUGAAAUGCGUAGAUAUGUGGAAGAACACCGGUGGCGAAGGCGAUUUUCUAGUUUAUACCUGACGCUGAGGCGCGAAAGCAAGGGGAGCAAACAGG
rnacentral:rRNA from 1 species